GAGUUUGAUCACGGCUCAGAACGUACGCUGGCGGCACGCCUAACACAUGCAAGUCGAACGAAGUAGCAAUACUUAGUGGCAGACGGGUGAGUAACAUGUGGGUAUCUACCCUUUGGCCUGGAAUAACACGAGGAAACUUGUGCUAAUACCGGAUAAGUCUUUACGGAGAAAGCUUUAUGCACCAUUGGAUGAGCCCGCACUUGAUUAGUUUGUUGGUAGGGUAAUGGCCUACCAAGACUAUGAUCAAUAGCUGAUUUGAGAGGAUGAUCAGCCACAUUGGGACUGAGACACGGCCCAAACUCCUACGGGAGGCAGCAGUGGGGAAUCUUGCACAAUGGAGGAAACUCUGAUGCAGCGAUGCCGCGUGAGUGAAGAAGGCCCUUGGGUUGUAAAGCUCUUUCGUCGGGGAAGAAAAUGACUGUACCCGAAUAAGAAGGUCCGGCUAACUUCGUGCCAGCAGCCGCGGUAAUACGAAGGGACCUAGCGUAGUUCGGAAUUACUGGGCUUAAAGAGUUCGUAGGUGGUUGAAAAAGUUAGUGGUGAAAUCCCAGAGCUUAACUCUGGAACUGCCAUUAAAACUUUUCAGCUAGAGUAUGAUAGAGGAAAGCAGAAUUUCUAGUGUAGAGGUGAAAUUCGUAGAUAUUAGAAAGAAUACCAAUUGCGAAGGCAGCUUUCUGGAUCAUUACUGACACUGAGGAACGAAAGCAUGGGUAGCGAAGAGGAUUAGAUACCCUCGUAGUCCAUGCCGUAAACGAUGUGUGUUAGACGUUGGAAAUUUAUUUUCAGUGUCGCAGCGAAAGCGAUAAACACACCGCCUGGGGAGUACGACCGCAAGGUUAAAACUCAAAUGAAUUGACGGGGACCCGCACAAGUAGUGGAGCAUGUGGUUUAAUUCGAAGAUACGCGCAGAACCUUACCAACACUUGACAUGUUCGUCGCGACUCUAAGAGAUUAGAGUUUUCGGUUCGGCCGGACGAAACACAGGUGCUGCAUGGCUGUCGUCAGCUCGUGUCGUGAGAUGUUCGGUUAAGUCCGGCAACGAGCGCAACCCACAUCUUUAGUUGCCAGCAGGUUAAGCUGGGCACUCUAGAGAAACUGCCCGUGAUAAGCGGGAGGAAGGUGUGGAUGACGUCAAGUCCUCAUGGCCCUUACGGGUUGGGCUACACACGUGCUACAAUGGCAGUGACAAUGGGUUAAUCCCAAAAAGCUGUCUCAGUUCGGAUUGGGGUCUGCAACUCGACCCCAUGAAGUCGGAAUCGCUAGUAAUCGCGUAACAGCAUGACGCGGUGAAUACGUUCCCGGGCCUUGUACACACCGCCCGUCACACCAUGGGAGUUGGUUCUACCCGACGACGCUGCGCUAACCCUUCGGGGAGGCAGGCGGCCACGGUAGGAUCAGCGACUGGGGUGAAGUCGUAACAAGGUAACC
rnacentral:rRNA from 1 species